GUGCUCGCUUUGGCAGCACAGACACUAAAAUUGGAAUAAUACAGAAAUGAUUAGCAUGGUCCCUGUGAAGGAUGACACAAACCCGUGCAGCGCUCCUAUUUGAA